rnacentral:rRNA from 1 species
GUGCCAGCAGCCGCGGUAAUACGUAGGUGGCAAGCGUUGUCCGGAUUUAUUGGGUUUAAAGGGUGCGUAGGCGGUCCCAUAAGUCAGUGGUGAAAUACUCUAGCUUAACUAUAGGGGUGCCAUUGAUACUGCGGGACUUGAGUGGAGUUGAAGUGGGCGGAAUUGACGGUGUAGCGGUGAAAUGCUUAGAUAUCGUCAAGAACACCGAUAGUGAAGACAGCUCACUAAGCUCAAACUGACGCUGAGGCACGAAAGUGUGGGGAUCAAACAGGAUUAGAUACCCUUGUAGUCC